rnacentral:misc_RNA from 1 species
ACCCACAUUAGAAGGCUUCAUUUGAUCUAGAAUUCCACGAACUUUUUCAAGAGCGUCUUCUGAUACUGGACCAUUAGUUGAGAAAGACUCUUUGCAAGUAUCACACAAUUUUCGAACUACUGGCAUGAUGCGAAGAAUGUAGCAAAUAACCCACUAGCCAAUCUAAUCACAAAGUACAAAGAAGCUGACCUGUAGCGUGACUUGUAGAUCACCAAAAACUUGUGCAAAAAUUGAUCAUCCAAAUCAAAUAAAAACUUGGAUUCCUAUAGCUUAAAGAUGUGCAAUUAACAGCAACAGCCCCUCUCUCAAAGAGGGNNNAGGUAGGGAGUUCCGGUGGUCACGAUGAUGAAAUUGAAAAGCAGAAGAAUCAG